rnacentral:misc_RNA from 1 species
UACGAGUGCCCCGAGCGUUACCCGGAAUUACUGGGCGUAAAGGGUGUGUAGGCGGUUAUGUUAGUCUGCUGUUAAAGCCUUCGGCUCAACCGAAGAAUCGCAGCAGAUACGGCAUAACUAGAGGAUGCGAGAGGUAGACGGAACCCACGGUGUAGAGGUGAAAUUCGUUGAUAUCGUGGGGAACACCAAAAGCGAAGGCAGUCUACUGGCGCACUCCUGACGCUGAGGCACGAAAGCCAGGGUAGCGAAGAGG